rnacentral:lncRNA from 1 species
GACACAAGCAUGGGCCAUUUCUCCUCUUCCUUUCUUUGCUGCAUGUGCACAUUCCCCUUGUGACCACGAGUGCAUUCCUGGGGAAAAGUCAGCAUGGCUUAUACGGUGAUAAUGUGGAGGAGAUGGACUGGCUCAUAGCCAGUGACUUCAUGUCAUCAUCAGAAGUUACCGAAAGUGAAGCAAUAAAGUUAACGUUCAGGACAAUGCAGAGACGCUGUCUUCCUUCUAUGGCCUUCAAGAAACCCUGGAGAGGACCAGUGAGGCUGCAGAUUCUUAAAAGAGCAUAGACAUUAAAAUUCUUGCAGAAUCUGAAUGUGUCUCCUGAGACAAGCAUCGUGAUAGAGUUCACAGUCUUAAAAGUCUGCAUUUUCAGGUGGGGCAAGGUGGCUCAUGCCUUUAAUCCCAGCAUUUUGGGAGGCUGAGGCAGGGAGAUGGCUUGAGGCCAGGAGUUCAAGACCAGCCUGGGCAACAUAGUGAGACCCUCCCCCCCAUCUC